rnacentral:rRNA from 1 species
UAACCUGCCCAAGAGAUCGGGAUAACACCUGGAAACAGAUGCUAAUACCGGAUAACAACAGAUGAUGCCUAUCAACUGUUUAAAAGAUGGUUCUGCUAUCACUCUUGGAUGGACCUGCGGUGCACUAGCUAGUUGGUAGGGUAACGGCCUACCAAGGCGAUGAUGCAUAGCCGAGUUGAGAGACUGAUCGGCCACAUUGGGACUGAGACACGGCCCAAACUCCUACGGGAGGCAGCAGUG